UACGGAGGGUCCAAGCGUUAUCCGGAAUCAUUGGGUUUAAAGGGUCCGUAGGCGGUUUUGUAAGUCAGUGGUGAAAGCCCAUCGCUCAACGGUGGAACGGCCAUUGAUACUGCAAGACUUGAAUUAUUAGGAAGUAACUAGAAUAUGUAGUGUAGCGGUGAAAUGCUUAGAGAUUACAUGGAGUACCAAUUGCGAAGGCAGGUUACUACUAAUGGAUUGACGCUGAUGGACGAAAGCGUGGGGAGCGAACAGG
rnacentral:rRNA from 1 species